UACGUAGGGUGCAAGCGUUAAUCGGAAUUACUGGGCGUAAAGCGUGCGCAGGCGGUUCCGCAAGUCAGAUGUGAAAUCCCCGGGCUCAACCUGGGAACUGCAUUUGAAACUACGGAGCUAGAGUGUGUCAGAGGGGGGGUAGAAUUCCACGUGUAGCAGUGAAAUGCGUAGAUAUGUGGAGGAACACCGAUGGCGAAGGCAGCCCCCUGGGUCAAAACUGACGCUCAUGCACGAAAGCGUGGGGAGCAAACAGG
rnacentral:rRNA from 1 species